rnacentral:rRNA from 1 species
GACAGAGGGUGCAAACGUUGCUCGGAUUUACUGGGCGUAAAGCGCGUGUAGGCGGGCGACUAAGUCGGAUGUGAAAUCCCUGGGCUCAACCUAGGAACUGCAUUCGAAACUGGUCACCUAGAGUGAUGGAGAGGAAAGCGGAAUUCCCGGUGUAGAGGUGAAAUUCGUAGAUAUCGGGAGGAACACCAGUGGCGAAGGCGACUUACUGGACACAUAUUGAACGCGUGAGGUGGCGAAAGCGUGGGGAGCAAACAGG